GUGAGGAAUAUUGCACAAUGGGCGAAAGCCUGAUGCAGCAACGCCGCGUGAGUGAUGAAGGCCUUUGGGUCGUAAAACUCUGUCCUUGGGGAAGAAAAAAAUGACGGUACCCUUGGAGGAAGCCCCGGCUAACUACGUGCCAGCAGCCGCGGUAAUACGUAGGGGGCGAGCGUUAUCCGGAAUUAUUGGGCGUAAAGAGUGCGUAGGUGGUUUUGUAAGCGUAGGGUGAAAGGCAGUAGCUCAACUAUUGUUAGCCCUGCGAACUGUGAGACUUGAGUGCAGGAGAGGAAAGUGGAAUUCCUAGUGUAGCGGUGAAAUGCGUAGAUAUUAGGAGGAACACCAGUGGCGAAGGCGACUUUCUGGACUGUAACUGACACUGAGGCACGAAAGCGUGGGUAGCAAACAGGAUUAGAAACCCCUGUAGUCC
rnacentral:rRNA from 1 species